AGGGCACCACCAGGAGUGGAGCCUGCGGCUUWWUUUGACUCAACACGGGAAAACUCACCCGGCCCGGACACUGGAAGGAUUGACAGAUUGAGAGCUCUUUCUUGAUUCAGUGGGUGGUGGUGCAUGGCCGUUCUUAGUUGGUGGAGCGAUUUGUCUGGUUAAUUCCGAUAACGAACGAGACUCUAGCCUACUAAAUAGAUCGUCGGCUUACAAACGCCGAUGAGACUUCUUAGAGGGACAGGCGGCGAUUCAGCCGCACGAAACAGAGCAAUAACAGGUCUGUGAUGCCCUUAGAUGUCCGGGGCCGCACGCGCGCUACACUGAAGUGAUCAGCGUGCAUUUUCAGCCUACUCUGCCAAGAGUGGGAAACCCAAUGAACCUUCUUCGUGAUUGGGAUAGGGGAUUGUAAUUAUUCCCCUUGAACGAGGAAUUCCCAGUAAGCGCGAGUCAUAAGCUCGCGUUGAUUACGUCCCUGCCCUUUGUACACACCGCCCGUCGCUACUACCGAUUGAAUGUUUU
rnacentral:rRNA from 1 species